rnacentral:rRNA from 1 species
UACGAAGGGGGCUAGCGUUGCUCGGAAUCACUGGGCGUAAAGCGCACGUAGGCGGACUCUUAAGUCGGUGGUGAAAUCCUGGAGCUCAACUCCAGAACUGCCUUCGAUACUGAGAGUCUUGAGUCUGGGAGAGGUGAGUGGAACUGCGAGUGUAGAGGUGAAAUUCGUAGAUAUUCGCAAGAACACCAGUGGCGAAGGCGGCUCACUGGCCCGGUACUGACGCUGAGGUGCGAAAGCGUGGGGAGCAAACAGG